AGCUGCUUGUAACUCAAAGCCAAAUCCUCAAGGUGUUCUAGCUCAGAGCCAGCCACAACAGGAAGGGGAAGUACACAAUAUCUUAAACUUCAUAUAAAUUUUGCUGUUCUCUCCUUAUGUCCCUACAUCUCUCACACAUCAUUGAAUCUUCUCACGGGGUAGAGCCUCCGUGGAAAUGCAGGAACCAGCUUCUGGAUAUCUGAGGUGUGGUAGGCUGAGUGACAGCUUUUCCAAAGAUACCCAUGCCCUAAUUUCAGAAAGGAACCUGUAACUGUUAGCUUACAUGGCAAAAGAAACUAUAGAUGUGAUUAAGUUAAGGAUCUUGAGAAAAGAAGAUUAUCCUGCACUGUCCAGUUCUGGAGGCCAGAGUUUGAAAUCAAGAUGUCAGCAGGACCAUGCUCUCUCUGAAGGCUCUCAGGAAGAAUCCUUCUUUGCCUCUUCCCAGCUCUGGUGGCUCCUGGCAAUCCUUGGUGUUCCUUAGCAUGUAGCUGCUUCACUCCAACAUCUGCCUGUCUCUGCAUGGCCUUCAUAUAAGUCAUCAGAUGGAGGGCCUAUCCUAAUCCAGUAUGAUCUUGUUUUAACCAAUUACAUUUGCAAAGAUCCUACUUGCAAAUAAGGUCACCUUCUGUAAUUUAGGACAGAUGUGACUUUUGCUGGGGGCGCUAUUCAACCUAGCGCAGCCCCCUAGCAUAUAGUGUAAACAUUUCUUUAGGACAAAUAUAUCUAGAGUGGAAGGUGGUUUUGGGGAUUGUCAAAUAUUUUCUAAAAUUAUUUUAUCAAUUUACAUAAUUGCCAGCAGUAAAUUAGAACUCCCAUUUCUCCACAUUCUUGCUGGAAUUUGGUAAUGAUCAAACUAAAUUUUUGCCAAUUUCUUAAGUGUGGAAUAUGGCAUAUAUUUUCAUAUGUUUAUU